rnacentral:rRNA from 1 species
GCUUGUCUCAAAGAUUAAGCCAUGCAUGUCUAAGUAUAAACGAAUUUAUACUGUGAAACUGCGAAUGGCUCAUUACAUCAGUUAUAGUUUAUUUGAUGGUCCUUGCUACUUGGAUAACCGUAGUAAUUCUAGAGCUAAUACAUGCAUAAAACCCUAACUUCUGGAAAGGGUGUAUUUAUUAGAUGGAAACCAAUGCGGGGUAACCCGGAAUAUGGUGAUUCAUAAUAACUUAUCGGAGCUCAUGGCCUUGUGCCGGAGCCAGGUCAUUCAAAUUUCUGCCCUAUCAGCUUUCGAUGGUAGUGUAGUGGACUACCAUGGCUUUAACGGGUGACGGAGAAUUAGGGUUCGAUUCCGGAGAGGGAGCCUGAGAAACGGCUACCACAUCCAAGGAAGGCAGCAGG